rnacentral:rRNA from 1 species
GAUGAACGCUGGCGGCGUGCCUAAUACAUGCAAGUCGAGCGAACGGACGAGAAGCUUGCUUCUCUGAUGUUAGCGGCGGACGGGUGAGUAACACGUGGAUAACCUACCUAUAAGACUGGGAUAACUUCGGGAAACCGUAGCUAAUACCGGAUAAUAUUUUGAACCGCAUGGUUCAAAAGUGAAAGACGGUCUUUCUGUCACUUAUAGAUGGAUCCGCGCUGCAUUAGCUAGUUGGUAAGGUAACGGCUUACCAAGGCAACGAUGCAUAGCCGACCUGAGAGGGUGAUCGGCCACACUGGAACUGAGACACGGUCCAGACUCCUACGGGAGGCAGCAGUAGGGAAUCUUCCGCAAUGGGCGAAAGCCUGACGGAGCAACGCCGCGUGAGUGAUGAAGGUCUUCGGAUCGUAAAACUCUGUUAUUAGGGAAGAACAUAUGUGUAAGUAACUGUGCACAUCUUGACGGUACCUAAUCAGAAAGCCACGGCUAACUACGUG